CUGUGGACCUUGUUCGACACCUUGCUUGAAAGGAUCACCAACAACACGUCUCUUGGCACGCGCCUUUGCUUUCUCUAUAAACUCAUCAUAUACAAGCUCGUGUACAUAUGUACGAGAUCCAGCACAGCAACAUUGGCCCUGUAGAUAAUAAGCACACACCUAAAAGAUGCUUUCACAGGCAUCAUAUUCAGACUGUCUUGUGGGUAAAUUUGCAUACGAACCUGAUUGAAGAACAAAGCAAAGUGUGCAAGCUCCACAGCCUUAUCAACGUCAGCAUCCUCACAAACUAUGAAAGGUGAUUUCCCUCCAAGCUCUAGUGUAACUGGUUUAAGAUUACUUCUUGCAGCCAAUUCUAGUACAAUCUUACCAGUAUCAGUUGAUCCUGUGAAAGCAAUCUGCGCAGGAAGUGGUGACAUCAUUAAUUGCUGGCAGUCCACAAGUAUGCCCAAAGACAAACUUGAUUCUGGAGUCCAUAUUGUCUUAAAAUAUACAGCUUCAGAAAUGUUUCAAUAAAUUGCAGUCUUCUACUUCGACUAGGUAAAGACAAUUGGUGAGGCCGAAAUUGAAAUUGGGUUCCAAAAAUACACGGUUCCCUCUGUUAAGUUGCUUUAUCGGGUAUAAACUCAUCCAUCUUUGAUAUUUAUCACUUCAAAAGAACGCAGACUAGGAAUCUAAAAAUGCAAAGAUGAAAUGUAAUUGGCUUCUACAGAAAUUGAAUUUGUUCUUAAAAGUUGAAACAAUAUGAAGUAAUUGUACGUUUUCCAGGAGAAACAUUAAUGAAAACAGAAAUUGAAUUCGAGGCACCAUGAAGGACAGAACAUUACAAGUUCAGAAGUAUGGUGUUAGAUCAAUGUAAAUUGAGCAUAGAACAGAUAACCAUAAAAUAGAUUCAAAUUCUCCAGAAAGCUAACAAAAAUAUGAACAGGAAAUAAAACUUAGUAAAAUACCUUGUCAACAUCCAUGUGGCUGGCAAGAGCUGCACCAGCAGUUGGACCAUAGCCUGAAACUACGUUCAAAACACCUGGAGGAAGACCAGCCUUACAUGAAGGAUGCAAAUUAGAUUUCAAGAUAAUGGAAUAUAAGUGCAAUUAUUACCAUUUUAACUAUAGUAUUAAGCUGUCAAUAGAAGAAUUGGACAACUGAUUUAACCAUUUUGUUUCUCAUACUAUCGGUGCAUAAUGAUGUAUUCUCUGACUAGAAGACUGUAGAUGACAUUGGACAAGGGUAGGGUACAUGUGUUGAGCGAUUGGAUAAACCAAAAUGACUUAAGCCAAUUGAUUUGGCUUACCCUUGCUAUAUUUUGUCUUGCUUUUUUACACUUGCUAUAUUUAUUACUAAUGUUGGACGUCCACCAGGCUUCACUUAAGAGGAAGCAUCCAAGUAGAUCACAAAUAACCUCACUGUUGUUCAAUAUAUAAUUUUCAUGCCUUUGGAAUAUUAUCAUGUUCUGCAUUUAUAUUUUUUACUCUCGGUCCAAAAAAAAUUCAGCGCACAUAAUUUUUCAAAUCCUACCUCAUGGAAAAGCUUUGCCGCAUAAAGAGCAGUCAGAGGAGUCUGUUCAGCUGUCUUGAGUACAAUAGUAUUACCACAGGCUAAUGCAGGACCAACUUUCCAAGCAAACAUGAUAAGAGGAAAGUUCCAUGGAAUUAUCUGCCCUGCUACUCCAAUCGGUUCGUGCAAUACUUGAACAUGGUGAUUACUGUCUCCUGGAACUGUUAGCCCAUGGAUCUUAUCUGCCCAACCAGCAUAGUAGUGAAACAGGCGAGACAGCAUUGGUAACUCAGAUUUAGCAGACUGUUCAUAAGGCUUCCCAUUAUUCCAUGUCUCUAAAGCUGCUAGUUCAUCAUUGUGCUUCUCAACCAAAUCAGCAAAACGCAAGAGAAUCCGCGAUCUUUCGUAAGGGGUCAUCUUUGGCCAUGGUCCCUCAUCAAAUGCUUUGCGAGCAGCAGCUACCGCCCUAUUUAUAUCUUCAGCAUCACCUUCAGCUACAUGGGCAAUCACUUCUUCUGUGCGGGGAUCAUAUGCCGGAAAUGUUCUCCCAGAUGCUGCAUCAACAAAUUGCCCAUUGAUUAGAUGUUGGGUGUAGACUGCUUGAACAGGUGGGGUGAUCGGUUUCUCAACUGCUGCGGCAGUGCUAAAUCUGUAGAUGCUUCUUCCCCUGCUACGAUUUCUUCCUAGAGAGAGAAGCAAAGAAGCAGCACCAGAAGAAGAGGAGAGCGAACGGGCUAUCAAGGAAGAUGUCCUGCGAGCUGCCAUGGCCUGUGUCCAAGAAGGUCUG
rnacentral:misc_RNA from 1 species